ACAAGUACCGUGAGGGAAAGUUGAAAAGUACUUUGAAAAGAGAGUGCAAGAGAACGUGAAAUCGAUAUAAUGGAAGCGAAUGAAGUCGACGUAUCUAGUACGUAUUCAGUUGUUGAUUGUCAAUGACCAGUUUUGUUGUUUUAUCGCAAGAUUUUAAUGGCUUAACUGUUUUCAUAGUCGAUUAACAAUGCAUUUGCGUGCAGAGUGCGAUGAGUCGGUUAAUGUUGUCGGUGGAAAUUGUUCGAGAGGACGGCUACGGCUGAAACCUCAUGCAAUGAAUGCCUGAUUAAUGUUGGCUGGUUUUUAUGUGAAACGUUGGUCUCUGUUUGCGAUUCCUUUGUGGAUCUUCAGCGUUUUCACUCGUCGUAUAGUCGGUCACUCAUUCGACCCGUCUUGAAACACGGACCAAGGAGUUUACGGUACACGCGAGACAAUGAGACCGCGAAUCUCAUAGUCAUAAUGAAAGUGAAUUUGUUGAACGAAUUGAACACGAUCGGUGAAUGUUUUAACGAACAAACAUCGCGUAGUGUUGCCCCAUUCCUCGAACUUGUUCUGGUGUGGGAGGUUGAGCGUGUGCGGUGAGACCCGAAAGAUGGUGAACUAUGCCUGAACAGGAUGAAGUCAGAGGAAACUCUGAUGGAAGUCCGAAGCGGUUCUGACGUGCAAAUCGAUCGUCUGAUUUUGGUAUAGGGGCGAAAGACUAAUCGAACCAUCUAGUAGCUGGUUCCUUCCGA
rnacentral:rRNA from 1 species